rnacentral:lncRNA from 1 species
UGUUUUUUUUUCUCUUUUUGAGAAUUACUAAAAUAGAUGCCCUACUGUCCGACCGGUCCCACCCGACCCUUGUUUUGGUUCUUCUCUCAGCGCCUUUUCAUCUUCGUUCCUCUCCUCUCCCCGGACUCCGUCCUUGCAUCGCACCUCCCCGUGGUCUCCAGCAUAAGCUGGCGCCCUAAUCCGCGCUCACCGAUAAUGCUGCAGGAGUUCGUCGACAACNNNNNNNNNNNNNNNNNNNNNNNNNNNNNNNNNNNNNNNNNNNNNNNNNNNNNNNNNNNNNNNNNNNNNNNNNNNNNNNNNNNNNNNNNNNNNNNNNNNNNNNNNNNNNNNNNNNNNNNNNNNNNNNNNNNNNNNNNNNNNNNNNNNNNNNNNNNNNNNNNNNNNNNNNNNNNNNNNNNNNNNNNNNNNNNNNNNNNNNNNNNNNNNNNNNNNNNNNNNNNNNNNNNNNNNNNNNNNNNNNNNNNNNNNNNNNNNNNNNNNNNNNNCGAAGGAAUGGCUGGCUAGGGUUGGCUAAACCAGCGAAUUAAUCCGGGUAAUUUAGGGAUUUUGAAUUGGUUUAAAUUAUCUGGUGGAGAUUCUGCAGUUUUUAGCCUUGUCACAAGUUACCACUAGAAAAGAGAUAUGUCUUGGGAAGAGAUCUAGCGAGAAGAGGGAGCUUGUGCCUCGGACUUUGGGGCUCCCUCACCCCCGCUGUCUGCUAAUCCCUCACCCUCGGACUUUGGACCUUGUUCCGCACUAGUUAGGUCUUUGGUUGUUUUCUCGGCUUUCGGUGUUGGAUUUAUGUCUUCGUGUUGGUGUCGAGGUAAUGGUACCCUUCUUCAUGCUCUUUGUGGUGGUGGUAUUGCGGGCAGCUAGCAGCGUCGAUGGCCCCCGGCUAGGGAAGUCUUGUUGGUGGCCGGCCCUUGGUGAUCGCGGUGAUGUUCCCCCGGCCGUUUUUACAAAAGCGACGAGGCUGUGGUCUUAUUUUCUCCCCUAGGGUGUCUCCCUGAUGCGACAUACUCCUAUUGCUCUUUGGUGGUUCGUGCUCUCCCUCGGUCACUGCGGCGUUCUCUCCACCGCCGCUGCGAAGCUGGCAGAACUUUUUUUAGGAGAUGGUUCGUCUCUUGCUGGAGAUUAAGAUUGUUUGGCUAUCUGAGGACCUGGUUGUAAUUUCCUUGUUUUCUAGGAUGCCUUGUAUUUUUGAAAGUCUUUUAAUAUAAAUCCAUAGCCUUGUUCACAAAAAAAGUCACAGCUAGAAAUACGGCAAUGCUACACGUACAAACAGUUUACAGGCUUUUACAGGUGGGUUAGUUUUUAUUGGUCAACAAGUGAGCGGGACGGCCCACCCCCCUGAAAAUCAGGGGGGGAGAGGUUUGUGAUUGGUUGUUAGAUGGAAAGAGCUUGUAAAAGCUUGUAAAUCUUUGUAUGUCUAGCAUUUUUGCUAGAAAUACCAUAAAAAGCAUGGAUAUGGUUGGAUUAUAGUGGAUAAACUUUGAUUGUCUUAGUAAGGACAGUGGAUUUCUGGCCCCAAGAUUGAUUAUAGUGGAUAAACAAUUGAUUUUCUAUAAGUUCUGUAGUGUAUGUAGUUACAUGGGUUAUCACAUGGAAACUAUGUUUUGUGGAUUUAUGACCCAAAGUACUUCGUACAAGUAUCUUUUACAUUUCUUAUUGACGUGAUUAGUAAAAGAAAUGUUCAAUCUGUGUGUAUUUGUAACAGUUCUGACGAUUGAAAUGACAAGUAGAAAGCGGCCGAUACCGCUUAUUUGCAACUGAAUGUGGCUGUGGGUAUGGUCUAAUAAAUCAUUUGUUUAGAUGCAUGACGUCAAUAGUGCUUGAAAUCUUGUUUUAAAAGUAAUUGUUACUAAUGCUUGAAUUAAUCACCUGUUAAUGAAAGAGGAGAUGGUAUAGCUGAAAAUAUGUUACUGAUUUGUUGUAAGCACUAAAUAAAUGUAUUAUGUAGAGCAGAUGACACACAAUUCAUAGUUAAUUUCAAUCUCCAUGAUGAUGCCCAUUUGAUAAUUAUAGGCGAAAAAUGUUGGUGUUCUGUUUUAUUCUGUCUCUUUGAAACAGUUGAUGAAGUGUGAAAUGUUAUGUAUAUACUCCCUCAGUUCCUAAAUAUUUGUCUUUUUAGAGAUUCCAAAUGGACUAUCACAUACGGAUGUAUAUAGACAUAUUUUAGAGUGUGGAUUCACUCAUUUUGCUCCGUAUGUAGUCACUUGUUGAAAUCUCUAGAAAGACAAAUAUUUAGGAACGGAGGGAGUACAAUAUACCGAUGAACUUGGUUCUGACAGUUAAAAUUAACAAUGCUAACUCAGCUAAAUACUUGCUCUACCUUCUAAAUGACAAUGCAUUGUUAAUUCAUAACUUAUUAUUGCAAAAGAGUAAGAUGUUUCCUGGCUUUUCUUAUAUCAGUCUCUGUAGGGUGAUUCCAGGACCAUAGACUAAGCUGAUUGCUAGUGAUUUCUGCACAAAUUUCUUUAGCCCCUUGCUUCUUCUGAGAUAUCCUAACCCUGGCAGCGUAAAGCUUAAUUGUUGUUAGUUUCAGUUUUCAUUUCCUUCAUACAAGAUCAGGAACAUCUAGGUUUCAGUUGAGUUGCUCUUAUUUUGAGCUUUUGUACUUAUAGUUUAGAGUAUUUAACUCGUUGUACUUGUUUGGGCAGGUCUGUGAAGACAUUCACAUAUGAGACGUUGAACAACAUCGCGAGAUUGAUAAAUGGAAUAUCAGCACUCUUGUUGACACUGUUACCUGGAAAAGCCAACAUUUUGGAAGGGGUCAGUGGCUGGGAACUUAGGCCAGCAUUUCGCGGGCCACGUCUUCCUCGUUGGAUGGAAAGGUGAACACAGUUUCAAUUUUUGGCACUUCUCUUUGGUUGCUGGAUAGUUUUGAAUAUUUUUUUUUCAUAAUAUGCGAGUACUAUGUGGGCUAGGUUCUUUUCGCUUGCAUCAUUGCAUGAGUACUUCUUUCUCUAGCCCGAUAACUCAUGUUAUCAGUAUUCAUUGCCAUGUUGCCUGUUACUAGUAUAUGCUCCCUCUGUAAACUAAUAUAAGAGCGUUUAGAUCACUAAAGAAAGAGGGAGUAUAGAUUAAGAAAGAGGGAGUAUAGAUUAAGUAUGGCUUCUUCUUUUGCUUGAUAAGUUGAUAAUACCAUUGAACCAUUUCUGAAUUCUGCAACCUCACUUGUUUGUUUUGAACUUCUGAUAAAAAAAGUGGGGUCUCUUCAUUUAACGAGUUCAUUCACGAACUUUCUGCCGAUUCGGAGUCUGAAUCAAUUGCUGGCUCUGUCCCUGGGGAUGAUGACAAUGAAGAGUUUGUCUGCCCUCCUUCUCCGUUGUCCCAAAGUUCACGAUUGUCACACACAAGCAGCUUUGGUAGACAUGACCGUCGAUUGAGAAGGCCUAUCAAAUAUGCAGUUUCCUGGAUUAUUUGGCCUGUGAAGAUUUUCCUUUCUUUGCUGCUCGUCUUGUUCAAUGCUGUCAAAUAUCGGAUAUCAAGGGCAUCUGCUAAAACCCCAGAAAGUCCUUAUUUAUCGAGGAGCAUAUCUGCGAAAAAACCAAUUCACAUGAAGGAUCAAGUCCUACAACGAACGACUGAUAGAAGGCGCGGAGUUGUCGAGGUAGUAUAUUUGAACAAAUUGGAAUCAGUUUAGUAAUUUAUUUAUUUACUUACACCAUACCAGGCCAGGAAUCUGGAACCUCAAGAUUGUUUAAAAGUAUGUAUAUCCAUUUGGCAUUCACUCCUUUUUUUCUUUUCUCUUAGGAUGUUCAUUUGGCAGUUGAGAUAUUCAUUGAAUCAGUUUUUGACGUUGUUCAUAAAGGAGCACAUUAUGUUCUUUCUCCUUCUGAGGUGUGGCAGAAGUUAUUUUGGUGGAUUCAUGGAAACAGGGUUGGUAACAGUAGUCCUGCUGUUGAUGUGCCAACAGCUAACAUUGGCAGUGAUAAUCCAGUUCCAACUGAAAGGAAGACUGUAUAUCGUCAUGCAUUGAACACAGAUUCUCGGACAUGUGAAGAUGUUAUAACUGAACUUGGGUAGGUACCUCUGACCCUUCCAUGUUUGUUAACAUGCUAAAACAUCUGGUACUUAGUUGCAAGUUCAAGAUUAUAAAAAUUGUUUGUAGAUAUGGAUAAGUUGUUUUUGCGAAUGAUGAUUUAAGCAUUUUUAAGGAGUGCAAGUUACCGUUAGUGUACUACACACGAGAUGUUUGCUGGCUCCGUCCUCUCGAGGGCCAAAUGUUGUUGAAGUAUCGAUGCAACAAUGUUCUGCCUGCAUUUCCGUUUUUCCAGCAUAUAUCAUAUUAGUGCUAAAAAAAUCAGUGUUGUCUAAUAUAUAUAGCCUUUUCCUGUAGUAUGAUUAGCUUAAAUUAAUUAAGUGAGUGGCUUGUUGAAAGCUUCACCUAGAAUGAUUAUGUUUAUUAAUCCUUUAACUGUUUGGUUCCCAGCCGAAGCUUGCAAUGCCUAAAGGUCAGGUGUGCCACAAUGGUUUAGGUGGGUGUCUGGUUGGUCGUCACAUGUGUGGCUUGGCCAGACUUUACUAUUCAUAUGACCCGCAUGUCAUAGACUCGGAUUUUGACCAUACGUGUGGUGCUGAGUUUGUAGCCACACUUUCCCUAUGCUUAGUUGUGGCGAAGUUAGACCAUAUGUCUGAACUGUUUAGGCGUUGUACAAUGGAAGGUGCCUAGGGAAGGUGCUUAGAGAAAUAAACCAGUUUUCCUUGAAGCGUUGGUGCUUAUUUGUAGAGGGUAGACGCUUAAUUAAGCACCUGUCAUGUAGAGGUAAGCACUGGUGCUUUAGAAAAACUCGGUUUAUUUUACUAAGCAUCUUGCUAAGCACCUUACAUUGUACUAAGCCUUACAAGUGUGGUGCUUUGUAGCCACAAUUGUUUAUAAGGCGGUAAGGCGAGCACCAACCGCCCUGACGCCUAAGCGCUUAAAACGGGCAUAAUUGCAAGGUGCUGCCAGGUGCCGCCUAAGCGUCCAAGGUGGGACGCCUUAUGAACAAUGCUGUUUACGAAUCCACAUAGUAGCACAACCUUUUCAAUAAUUGAUUUGACUCUUUGUAUUGAUGACAUUACUUUGUCCAUAAAUGAUGGAACCAUUCUGCCGUUAUUUCCAGGUAUCCUUUUGAGGCUAUAAAGGUGGUUACUUCAGAUGGAUAUGUUCUGCUGCUGGAGAGAAUCCCCAGGUGAAAAAAUAGCUAUUUCUUGCCCUUAUCUUUUCCCAAUAUUAUGGAAUGGGACUUGACACAUGGCAUGUUUAGGCGUGAUUCACGGAAGGUUGUGUUGUUGCAACAUGGAGUACUGGACUCAUCUAUGGGGUGAGUCUAUGAAAUUAUAAUUGGAAAUUUGACAACAUAAUUGAAGAUUUUUCGAUGUUUGGCUAUUCAAUCGUGAUUAUUGGUUGCUAUGCUAAUUGAUCACUUGAUCCUAUAUUGUGGUUCAUUCCUUCUGUAUUGCUAUUUCUUUCUUUUGAUAACAUAAUGUGAUAAUUGGAACGAUCUACUACUGUCAUAAUCCUAAAUUCCUAAUUACUGAGAAGUAGAUAAAAGUGAAUGAUUCUUCUCUGCUUUGUUGAGAGGGGUCAGCCCCUUAAUAUAGUAGACAAGACUUGACUAAUAAGCCGGUUAAUAUGUUCAAACUCGAAUACGAUCUCUAAACUAACUGGAUUCUUUCCUAACACAGUUGCUUAAUCAACUAGGACUCUAAUUAAGGGAUAAGACUCCAUGUUUGAUGGGCUGUCUCACAUAAAAUCUCUCCUUCAUCGAAAAACAGCUUGUCUGCAAGCUGUAGGUUGUCAAUUUCCUCCUAGGGGACCUUGGGUGCUACCAGUUGUGGAGCUAUCUUGGUCGUUGUUAAGUUACUGUAUAUAUCAUUGUAUCUCUAGUUACAGUACUCUCCCCUUGAUAGUACUCCCUCUGCAAAGAAAUAUAAGAGCGUUUAGAUCACUAAGUAGUGAUCUAAACGCUGUUAUAUUUCUUUACGGAGGGAGUAUUGUUUUUAUAGGUGACUAACUAGCAAAAAUGCCCGUGCGUUGCAACGGGAGAAAAAGGAUCACACACCCCUAAGCCCAAUAUGCAUGGCGAUGGAAAUGUAUGUUGCGGAAUAACAUGAAGCAGAAUUGUGAUUUCAGCCAACCAAUCUUUGCAAAUGGCUAAGAAAUUUAGACAUUGUACAAUUUGUGAGUUAGGUUAAAGACAAUCAUCUCCAACAGAAAUGAAAACAAUAAACUCAUGCAUAAGAAAAGACAUACAAAGCAUAAGAAAAUUCGAAAUACCGAAACAUAUUUCUUCUGCCAAUGCAAGAUGUUAUUCCUCACAUUCAUUUCAUUAUCAGAAGAAUAAAAAUUUAGGAUUUAAUACAGCUUUUAAUAGGAAUAAUGUGUACUAUAAUUAAGCACGGGCUAGGUUGUCACCGAGAAAGCAUAUUCAGUACUAUAAUCAAGCAUAGGCUAGGUUGACUACCCAUCGUUUGGUUUAUAGUGUGCGUAUAUCUCAACGAAAAAACCAAAUAUAAGUGCAGUAAAUAUAGAUUAUCAACUACUCCCUCCGUUCUGAAUUACUUGUCGCAGGUAUGGAUGUAUCUAGAUGUAUUUUAGUUCUAGAUACAUCCAUUUCUGCGACGAGUAAUUUGGAACGGAGGGAGUAUAACAGAAAGUUAUAAUUUUAGUAUACAAUGAGGGUAAUUUUUUUAUAAUUUAGUAUACAAUGCAGAUUAAGCACCAUACUGACAAUAAAAAUGUCGUAUACACAACACUUCUAUUGAGUUACUGACAUCAUACAGUAAAAAGACUGCGAUCCAAAUUGCUUGCCUGCACUAGAGCUUCUUAUACUGUAUGCAACUCUUGUUCAUUAAAAAAAGAAACAACUUAGAUUUUGCAUCAAAAAUAUAACAUUGGUGGAUGUAUAUUUCCCGUCCAACUUCAGUACUAGGUUGUACAUCGGAUGUUGAUGCAUAAUGAGAAAGCAUAUCACAUCAGCAGAUUAGCCAUCCUAAUGAGUUACUCACAUAUGACAAUAAAAAUAUUAUACAUGAAAUAUUUUUAUUGAAGUAAUUUUACACAGACGCAAUUGUUCCUCCGUACCUUCAGUUACGCUAGGCAUGACAUCUUCUUCCUUGUUCACAAACUUUACUGAGAUUAGCCCUAUGACCAUGAUUUCUGAAUGUGUUUUAUGUGGAGUGUCCGAAAGACAAUUUGUUUUGUCGUAGCCCAUGUAUGCUCCUGCUAUAUAUAGGCUGUACUAUGUUGUAGUAGACAUAGGUGUUUCCCUGUUGCUUCGCUUUCCGGCUGUACGCGUCACGUUUUAUUUUGCUGGGUAUGAGCAGCGCAUGCAGCAGCAAACCUGCAUGCAAUGGCAUCAUGCAACGUGAAUCAAGGUUCUCCCCUCCUUAAAUUAUGCUCGAUCCGCUCUAAAGUAACCAAAGUCCUGACUCGACUUCAACCGCAGCACCCCAAACCUUCACACGGGAAGGACAGGAGCGGCGCUAAUUAUUUUGGUUGUUGACACCCAGUGGCAUUACCGUCGUCAUGCUGACGCCUAGAGCUCCUUAUCCAUGUCCAGUCUCACAAGCAUCUCUGUUGUCACCGUUGACAUCACUGGCGGGACGGAGCCGUGUGGGACGACACCUCGGACUCGUAUUGGCCCUUAUCUGCUCCAUGUGUAUCUCCAUAUCUCAACGGUUUAAUUACCUUCUAUUUUCCUUUCUCCGAGGCAGCUUCUUAACACCUGGGAAAGUCAAAGAAGUAUAUAAAUUUGGUCGGUUAGAUUUAAGGAGUCGAUGUAGGACUAUUGAAGAUGCAAUUGACCUACUGUUUAACGCACAAACAUGUUCUAGCUCGUUGGUAUUGUGACCUGUGUAGAACAGGAGGUCGCGAGUUCGAUACUCCAGACCAGCGCGCAAAUUUUUGCGCCUCGGCCUGAUUUUUUGGGCCACUGGCCAUCAGCACACAUGGAGGGGUGAUUAUUUGGGCUUUUGGGCCACCAGCCGUCAGCACACGGAGGCUUCGUGAGACGCAUGGAUGGGGAAAGCUGACGUACGAAGAAAUUAAGACGGACGGACGAAAAUUAGAAGGGACGGACGAAAUUACGGUGGUAAGAAGCGAUAGAUACUUUAUUAGUAGGCAUAGAUUUACUUCCGGUGCUUUUCCCUGGAAAAUUAGUAACUUAAGUGUGACAGUACAAAUUACUGUUUAUAGUUGGUAAUUCUAGUGCUGAAUGGCUGCCGAGAGAUAAUGUACUCCCUCCGUUCACUUUUAUAAGUCGUUUCAGACAAGUGAAAUUGUGCUGUUUUGCACAUUGUCUGAAACAUCUACAAAGCCUUAUAAAAAUGAACAGAGGGAGUAUAAUUUUUUGGGGAUAAUGGUACUGUGUCGAUAUAAAUCUGUCCUCUUGUUUCCCCUGCAGUUGGGUAUCAAAUGGUGUUGUUGGCUCACCUGCAUUUGCAGCUUAUGAUCAAGGUCAGUAAUCAAAGUUGGAUUUAAUGUAUUCCACUGCUGGGCCGCAAAUGCUGAAGUUCUUUCCUCGUUUUUGAUUCCGUGUAGGUUAUGAUGUUUUUCUUGGAAAUCUCCGUGGUUUGGUUUCAAGAGAGCAUAUGGAUGAAAAUCUUUCUUCCUCCAAGUAAGUGCUACUCCCUGUUUUUUAGACCGUCUUAUAUUAAUGAACAGAGGUUGUAUUAGUUUAUUGGUUGAGAUAAUUUUUUACUCCUGUAUAUGCCAAAUCAAUUUGGUUACUGUGCUUGCUCAUCUCUGAUGCUCCUUCUCAAUUCAUGUUAGGUACUGGAAAUAUUCUGUCAAUGAGCAUGGAACCAAAGAUAUGCCAGCAAUAAUCGAGGAAAUUCACAAGAUUAAAACUUCAGAACUUGGCAGCAGUCAGAAUCUUAUUGGGGAGGAAAUGGAAGAUCAAAAUGGUGACAUAAAGAAUUCGGAAAUACAGACUUCAGAGGAAGACGUGACAAAAAAUCAGCCUUAUAAGCUCUGUGCUGUCUGCCACAGCCUGGGUGGUGCAGUUAUGUUGAUGUAUGUGGUGACAUCAAGGAUUGCGCAGAAGCCCCACAGGUUGUCAAGAUUGGUCUUGCUAUCUCCUGCUGGUUUUCACGAGGAUUCAAAUGUGGUGUUCAGCUUGGUGGAGAAGAUCAUCCUGUUUGUUGGUCCAGUACUUGCUCCACUUGUGCCUGGGCUGUACAUACCAACUCGAUUCUUCAGGAUGCUUCUGAACAAAUUAGCUAGGGAUUUCCACAACUAUCCAGCUUUGGGUGGUCUCGUCCAAACCCUUAUGGGGUAUGUUGUUGGUGGUGACAGUUCAAAUUGGGUGGGAGUACUUGGGUUGCCUCACUACAACAUGGAUGACAUGCCCGGUGUAUCGUUUCAUGUUGUACUCCAUCUUGCACAGAUAAAGAGGGCGAAGAGGUUCCAAAUGUAUGACUAUGGAAGUGCCGCGGCAAACAUGGAAGCGUAUGGAACACCAAAACCAUUGGACCUGGGAGCUCACUACAGUCUUAUUGACAUCCCCAUGGACCUGGUUGCUGGGCAAAGAGACAGAGUAAUCUCACCAACCAUGGUGAAGAAGCACUACAAGUUGAUGCGGAAGGCUGGUGUUGAAGUCUCCUAUAAUGAAUUCGAGUAUGCUCAUUUGGAUUUCACAUUUUCACACAGGGAAGAGCUUUUGUCCUAUGUUAUGUCCCGCCUGGCCUUAGCAGCUGACGCAGGUAAAGGCCGCAUCAAGCAGACCACUGUGCGACUAAGGAAGCCGAAGAGAGUUCAGUCAGAAAUGGAGAAGGAUCGUGCCAUGGAGUAUAGAGGCGCAGAUGAAGAGAUACCUGGUGAACCAAAUGGGCAUAGCAAGUGAUGCAAAUUUCUGACUAGCUGUUGUUGUACGUAGUUUUGUGCAUAGGUAUAUAUAUGACACGCCGCUCUCUGCAUACUUCUACAAUCUACACCAUGUAGAAGAAUAUUUGAGGAUGGAUAUUGCACAGUUUUAAUAGUUUAGUUCGAUGGGGACUCUUUUAUAUCCUUGUCGGAAACCAGACUGGUACAUGUAUACAUGAUAUGUUAAUGUUUUCACACAAAUGAAUAUAACUGACACAAGGACAGGCUAUUUUUUUGGGGUGAAUUAGGAGCGCUUGAUAAGCCGCGGCAUAUGUCUACAUUUCAUCAAACACAUGCCAUGCAGAAAAUACAAGUACCUUUACCUGGAACACAAUGCAUUCCAUUAACUCGCGGACGCGGCGAUAUCGCCGGCCACGGCACCAAUCACCAAGUACAUUGGGGGGCAGGUUAGCGAUCCACAUGCGGUCAUCAGAGCUGACCCAGAACUAUAACUCGCCAGUAAAUGAGCUAGGACAUUACAUUCACGUUGAUCAAAAUUAACUUUGUAAUCUAUGAAGCCCAGCUGUAGCUGAAACUUGGACUCCCGAUCUGCCGAACUUGAGUCAUUGGCUUGCUUGAGGGGAAGAUCACACCGCCCGGCCCAUUCCAAACCCCUUGGCAAGAUUGAUUGCUUUCAUGAGGGCUGCGGCCUCAGCCUGUAGAGCCGCCGAUUGGUGCAAGACGGUACCAGCAGCAGCAAAAAGACAUCGCCCGUCGAGUCUCUGGCAAUACAGCCCCAGCCGGCCGUUCCCGAAGACACCAUGAAAGAAGCAUCAAAGUUCAGCAUAACCCAUUCAGGCCAUGUUUGGCACCAAGGGUUUUCAAGGAUUAUUGGGGAUUUGGUGAACCCCUCCCCCGCACCAAAUCCCUCUAAAUCCCCUUCCCCCUCCCAAACCCCUUCCCCAUCUAUCCAUAUAGAGUGUUUGGCAUGCAGGGACAAAUUUGGUCCAUUUUAAACAUGAACUUCAACAACACACUGAUUAAAAUCUGAUCUUUACUGCUGAACACGCUGAAGCAUCAAUGGCCAUAUCAUCAAGUACUACUGAAAGCAACAAAUCAUAAUCUUUAAGAACAAUGGCAUAUAAACUAAGAACAUCAAAGGCCAUACACAGGCAUGCAUCAGAAUGUACCAACAACACCUAGGGUGCAACACAAACAUCACUUAAAUUCGGUUUCUGCUUCCCAACAUAGUUUCAGUUUCGACGCCGACGCACAUGCAUACUUCAGUUCCAUCGCAUCCCUGAAAGCAGCAAGUCAAUCAGAACAUUAGACACCCAGUCAAACAAUUCACAGCUACAAGAGUACUUCAAAUACUUUCUCAAGAAAGAAAACAGGGGGGAAAUAUGGCAUGGAGUCUGUUUCUUAUACUUCAUGAUCUGAAACAGAUGGACUCGCACUCCUUUGUCAAAAAGUAUAACAAAAUCACUUCUGCUUCGGUAGACCCCCUAAACACAAGGACGGCUCAGAUUAGCCCAUACCUCUUCAUAUGAAGGGGCAUGAUAGUAAUAUUUAUAUUUUUAGUCCGUGAAUGAACGCGCACAUCCUCCCGCGCUGGACCGGCCCAUACAUCAUGUUUUUUAUUUUCUAAAACCGCAAAAAUAAGUAAGUGCCGCAGAGGAUUCGAACCGCCCUACACCAGUAAUUAGCACAGGCGCACUAACCAACCGGGCAACUGAACAACAUGUGCUAGAUAUUUUUUUUGACUAAAAAUAGAACACCGGAAAGCGCACUAUAUCCUGUUUGGUUUUCUUUUCCGCUUUAUUUUUCCUUUUCUUUAUUUGUUUCCCUUUUCUUUCUUAAAUGCGUAAAGAUUUUAAAAUUCGUGAUUUUUUUAAAUGAAGAAAAAAAUUCAAAGUCGUGAAUUUUUCUUCAAAGUGGGUGCACUUUUUUUUUCCAAAAAUGGUGAGGUUUUUCCCCCAAAUUCGUGAACUAUUUCUGUAAUCAGUGAUUUUAAAAAAGGAUUGAACUUUUUAUAAAAAUGAUGAAUUUUAUUUUAAAAAUGAAUGAACUUUUUUUAAAUCAAUGGACUUAUUUACAAAACUGAUAAAGUUUUAUUGAAAAAAUAUUUUUUUUAUUUUGAUUUUUAAAAAAAAUCAAUGACUUUUUUUCGAAUUUGUGAACUUUUCCCAAAAAUGAUGAAGUCUUGUUUUACUUUUUCUGAUCAAUGAGCUUUCUUAAAAUUCAGUUAACUUUUUAAUUUUUUUGUGAACUUUCUUGAAUUCCUAAUUAUUUAUUUUAAAAAUUAUCUAAAAGUCAAUGAUCAAGUUGUAAUUAAACUCCCUCCUCUUUCUUAAUGAGCGUUCUUUGAAAUUUAUCUUGGAUGCUUGGCAUGGUGAUACUAGUGUGUGGAACAAAUUUGAGUCCAUUUUAUUGAUGUGAAAAAAGUGCAUCCAGACUUGCCCUACCAGCCUACCCGAGCCAUCACCUUUGAACAUGAUAUGCUUCUUGCCAUGCACAAAAUGACACCAAAACUUGUCAGUAUGUGGCCAUGCUCAGGGCUGGCCUUCAUGCAAAAUUUGAAGGAAUUCGGACACCUAACGCACAUUGUGUCACGUUCGGUUAGUGUUUUAAGAUUUUUUUUUCACGGGAAAACCUUAGUAAAUGCAUAAAAAGUCAGAACUCAGUGAAAUUUAUCAUGGAUGCUUUGCAUGAUGAUGUUAGUGUUUCGAAAAAAAUUGGUUUCAUUUUAUUGGUGUGAAAAAAGUGCAACCAGACUUGCCCUACCGGCCUACUCAAACCACCACCUUUGAAUAUGGUGUGCUUCUUUCCAUGCAUGAAAUGACAUCAAAUUUUGCCAGCAUGUGAGCAUGCUAAUGGCAGGCCUCCAUCGAAAUUUUGAAGACAUUUGGACACCGAACGCACGUUGCGUCACGUUCGACUAGUGUUUUAGGGUUUUUUUCACUAGGAAAACCCUAGAAAAUGUAUAAAAGGUCAUAAUUCAAUGAAACUUAUCAUGGAUACUUGACAUGGUGAUACUAGUGUGUGGAAAAAAUUUGGGUCCAUUUAUUGAUGUGAGCAUUUUUUGAAAGAAAAAAGAAUGAAAAACGAAAAACAACAAGAAUGAAAAUAAACAAAAAAGAACAGUAAACCGGUCGCUAAAUGAUUUAUUUUCAUUUUCCUUUUUCUAUUUAAUAGAUGCUCUGAAAUUUUAAAAGUGUCCGCUUCUUUUAUGUGAGCAUGUUCCUAUUUAAACGAAUAAUGAACAAACAUUUUUUGUUUAAAUGAACAUUUUUUCUAUUUAAUAGAUGUUCAGAAAUUUAAUUAUAUUGAUAUGAGCAUUUUCUAUUAAACAAACAAUUUUUUGACAUAUAUGCACUAUUUUCUUAAAAUGCGAAUAUCUGUACUUUAUGAACAGAAUUUUAAAAAGCAAUUUUUUAAUUCAAAAAACAAUAAGUGUGAGAAUUUUCAGAAAAUAAAAAAGAAACAAAAAUAAAAAAAUAAAAAAAUAAAUAGAAAAAACGGAAAAGAAAUAGUGAUAACAAUACCGAUUCAACAAACUGAAGUAGAGGAAAAGAAGUUUAAAUACCCAAGCAUUAGGUUGUUCUAGUUGGUUAAUGUGGUUUUCCUUAGACCAAGAGGUCUUGAGUUCAAUACAUGGUGCCUGCGCUAUUUUCUGAAAUUUAAUAAAAAGUGGGUAUGAUGUCUCGUAUGUGUCACAUAAGCAUAUGAGUAUACGGAUUGNNNNNNNNNNNNNNNNNNNNNNNNNNNNNNNNNNNNNNNNNNNNNNNNNNNNNNNNNNNNNNNNNNNNNNNNNNNNNNNNNNNNNNNNNNNNNNNNNNNNNNNNNNNNNNNNNNNNNNNNNNNNNNNNNNNNNNNNNNNNNNNNNNNNNNNNNNNNNNNNNNNNNNNNNNNNNNNNNNNNNNNNNNNNNNNNNNNNNNNNNNNNNNNNNNNNNNNNNNNNNNNNNNNNNNNNNNNNNNNNNNNNNNNNNNNNNNNNNNNNNNNNNNNNNNNNNNNNNNNNNNNNNNNNNNNNNNNNNNNNNNNNNNNNNNNNNNNNNNNNNNNNNNNNNNNNNNNNNNNNNNNNNNNNNNNNNNNNNNNNNNNNNNNNNNNNNNNNNNNNNNAGAUUUAACUUGAUGCAAAUAGAGAAAGCAAGCUCUACCAUCAGGUCACAUAGAUAUCUCACAUCGAGUACUAGCACUAGAAACUCACAACUAAAAUUUUAUACGUAUAGACCAUAUAUACACUGCAGAGAAAAGGUUGACAGAAACUCUUUGCAUAUACAGUACAGAUCAUAUAUAUGUACAGAUCAAAACUAAAAAUUUAUAUGUACAGAUCAUAUAUACAACUAAAAAAAUAUAUUAGAUUUAGUAUGAUUGUUCACUAUCAAAUUGUAUCUAUUUCUCUAACAAAAACUCUACAAUUACUUUAUUGCUGAUUGCCAAACAGUAUGGUUCAGUUUCUUCCUGUUAUUUGCCCUUUAUUCAAAUUAGUAUGCAGACAAAGCAUUCAUUCACAAGAAAAACAUGUUUGUUCCAAGCUAAUCAGGAAUAGGAGCUUAAGUGUAGUCUCAGUUCGGAGAUGAGAAAUUGAUUUCUAGCUAAUCAGGAAUAGGAGCUUAAGAACAAGACCAAGCAAGCAAGAACAUUACAAACCAAAUCAAAAUACCUCUUCUAGGUAGGCAACUCAUCCAUUUCGCUCCGAAGCCACAUGACCGCACUCACUUCUUGCAGUUUGAUGAACAUGUAAGAUAACAAAGAGCUCGCUAUUACAUUAUAACAGAGCAUCAUAAAUGUUUGUUCUAAGCUAAUCAGGAAUAAGAGCUUAAGUAUAUUCUUAGUUAGACAUGUACAUGCAUAUGCUCAGUUAGCAACCACAUAAAUAUACUACAACUAGUCAUCUCAGAUGAGAAAUUGAUUUCCAGCUCUUGUCUGCAUGUAUUUUACUCAUCUUAGCAAAUCACACCAGUAACAGUUAACUUCGACAUGUUUUCUCAUUAGGUUGUCAAACUGCAAGAAGGCAUGCCUUGCUGAUCUUUGUAACUUAAAUAUGAAAAACUCACUGUACCUUUCUCUCACUGAUUGAACAAAAAAAUGGUUUCAAUUAGUUCCCUGCUUGCUGCUCUGGGCCAGUAUGGUUCAGUUAUUUCUUGACUUUCAACUUUAUUCAGACAAGAUGCAAGCAAGAUAUACAGAGUGACGCUACAGCAGUUCUAACUUCAGAAUAUGUGUUUAUUGCAUUUUUCAAAGUUGAACAUUCAACAAAUAGAUGUAUAAGGUAGCAGGUAGUGUCCUUUCAAAAGUUAUUCCUUACAUAUUUGAAACAAAGCUACUGCUAGACUUGAAUGUAAAAGAACUAGUAGAGAAAAAAAGUAGUAGAAUUGACCCUAAUAUUUCCCAUAUUAGGCGACAAAAUGCAUAUUAUUUCUAAACAAUGCUAUAUUUUUAGCACAUAGUGUCAAAAUUAAUCAGACCGAUGAUAUACCAAUGAAACUUAUGUGCAACAAAAUGAUUCUCUCCUCACAUUUCUACACUACAUCCAAUUAUCAAUAUCUAACACAAAAUGGUCGGCUGUAUUUUGUUACUUUGUUAUCAGAUAUAGGAGUACUAUAUGCUAAUAAUAAUGGGAUUUUUUACUAUGGAGUAUAAAAUCAGUACCGAAAGGUAGAGAUCCUACUUGAGCAUCUACAUGUAUAAUGUUAAGGCACACAUAAAUGACAUCAAAAAAGGGUUGGAGUUGUCUUGAAUAGUAGUCCAGAUCUAGCGUCAACUAACUUCAAACAGGGGGAGGAGGAAUGUGAUGGGGAAGCAGGCAGAUGAACAACAGGAAGGGCCUCUCACAGCGGUGGUGCUGGAAAAGGGAGAGGAGCCGGUGGUGGCUCUCAGUGACGAUGUGCUUGGCGAGCUCGCCGGGGAGGACGAGGCGAACGGAGGACUGGCGGCGGAAACCCUAGACGAAGAUGAGGGAGGGGGAGGGGGUGGUGUACCUCGGGGGAGAAGGCCAGCUUUCCCUAGGAAGAAGAGGAAGCAGGCGUCCGACGGCGUUAGCAGCGACGACGGCGGCUGCGCGCGGUUCUCGCCGUCUCUUGUGACCGCGGCCGCGUCUCUUCUCCCUCCCGCAUGAGGCGUGUGAGACGCGAGGUACCCCUCGAUGCUGGAAAGCCCCGUGGAUCGGGGAGGAUCAGACGGGAUAUUCGGGGCUGACCCGGUUGAAGCCCAGUGCACCAAACGCUUCUGUUGGGCUUUUAGGGGCUUUUA